rnacentral:lncRNA from 1 species
UCUAAUAGUAUAUUACAUUAUUCUGAUAAAAUACUUAAAAAUGAAGUAAAAUUUUUAAUUAUAUCUAAGGGCAUAAUUUUUUUGUGAUGCCACAUAAGUCCGGACCGGCACUAUAUAUAUAUAUGUCUAUAAUUGUCUAGCUUUUUUCGAUAGAUAGAUAGAAUGAAGAUUUCCAUUAUAAAGAUUCAAAAGCACGUAGAGCUGAUUUGAUGCAAAUAGAUGUCCACAAUUCUAUAGCAAAAACUACAAAAUGAUUUACACGUGAUUCCUACAAAACUACAAUUCUAGAAAUUAUUAUUAAAAACUUGAAAAAGGAAAAAAACACCCAUCUCAAAAUUUCAAAGGAUUUGCUUUCAUUUGGUCUAUUUUCUUUAAACCGAAAAUCAAACUAAAACAC